GGGCCUUUGUCCACCGUUCCUGUCCACCCCCACUCAAGAGAGCCCGAGGAGGAAGCAUUUUGGAUAUAGGACGCCCAGCCCCCCUCCCCCACAGACACCCCCAAACACAUUCUGCUGGUUCCUGCAGCGAGGGGGUGCGGUAGAGCCCAGCCCGCCACCCCCCCUCCACCCCAGCGGGUCCAGCUGGGGAACAGGGCGACUGUCCUGCGCUGGUGGGGGUGUGGCCUGCUGGCCAAGGUUGUGCUUAGAGCUGGCUCCUGCUGAAUAGUGGGUCGUCAAGUCCUCCUUUCCUCUCCCCCCCCCCACCCUGGGGGUCACAGAAGAAGGCAGGGCCUUGAAAAGUUACUUUCCGCCUCUCCCUGAGACUUGGCCUUUCCAACCUGGGUGGCUGGCUGUCCUUGGGAGGUCACUCCUCCUCUCGAAACUCAGUCUCUCCAUCCACGCAACGGGAGCUGUUUUCCUGAGUCAAGGCUGAGGUGGGAUGCUAGGACACCCUGCGGAAGACUGAGCGCGAGCAUGGGGAGCCCCAUCCCCGCUUCCCCACCCGCCCUGGGGCCCCAUUACCAGCCGACGAGAAGGGCAGCGAUACAACUCCAGGCGGUUGGAGUAGAGCCUCUCCUAGGACCUGCUGGGACCUGUCUCCAGAACCGAGUGGGAUCAGGGGGUGGACGGGGGCGCCUG